rnacentral:tRNA from 1 species
GCCCUGAUGGCUCAGUGGUUAAGCACUUGGCUGUUAACCAAAAGCUCAGUGGUUUGAACCCACCUGGUAGCU